GUCCUGGAGUGUUAGCCAGCUAGAUAUGUCCUCGAGCCGAUACUAAUACCCAGGUAAUUAUCCUGGCUAAUGUGUGCAAGUCCCUCUCGAAGGGAAAGCCUAAUUUAGUUAUGGUAAUCACCACCUUGAGCUUUCGGGUUCAAGGCCCUAUCCGGCAGCGGCAUUUUGGGAC
rnacentral:other from 1 species